GAUGAACGCUGGCGGCGUGCUUAACACAUGCAAGUCGAACGGAGUGCCUUUGAAAGAGGAUUCGUCCAAUUGAUAAGGUUACUUAGUGGCGGACGGGUGAGUAACGCGUGAGGAACCUGCCUUGGAGUGGGGAAUAACACAGUGAAAAUUGUGCUAAUACCGCAUAAUGCAGUUGGGUCGCAUGGCUCUGACUGCCAAAGAUUUAUCGCUCUGAGAUGGCCUCGCGUCUGAUUAGCUAGUUGGUGGGGUAACGGCCCACCAAGGCGACGAUCAGUAGCCGGACUGAGAGGUUGGCCGGCCACAUUGGGACUGAGACACGGCCCAGACUCCUACGGGAGGCAGCAGUGGGGAAUAUUGGGCAAUGGGCGCAAGCCUGACCCAGCAACGCCGCGUGAAGGAAGAAGGCUUUCGGGUUGUAAACUUCUUUUCUUAGGGACGAAGCAAGUGACGGUACCUAAGGAAUAAGCCACGGCUAACUACGUGCCAGCAGCCGCGGUAAUACGUAGGUGGCAAGCGUUAUCCGGAUUUACUGGGUGUAAAGGGCGUGUAGGCGGGAUUGCAAGUCAGAUGUGAAAACCACGGGCUCAACCUGUGGCCUGCAUUUGAAACUGUAGUUCUUGAGUACUGGAGAGGCAGACGGAAUUCCUAGUGUAGCGGUGAAAUGCGUAGAUAUUAGGAGGAACACCAGUGGCGAAGGCGGUCUGCUGGACAGCAACUGACGCUGAGGCGCGAAAGCGUGGGGAGCAAACAGG
rnacentral:rRNA from 1 species